UGGUUGAUCCUGCCGGAGGCUACCGCUAUUGGAGUUCGAUUAAGCCAUGCGAGUCGCGAGUCUUAGGGACUCGGCGUACCGCUCAGUAACACGUGGGUAACCUGCCCUAUGCUGGGGGAUAACCUCGGGAAACUGAGAAUAAUACCCCAUAGUUCACCACGCCUGGAACGGUGGGUGGAUGAAAGCUCCGGCGGCAUAGGAUGGGCCUGCGGCGUAUCAGGUUGUAGGGGGUGUAAUGUACCCUCUAGCCAUCUACGCGUACGGGUGUUGGGAGACAUCGCCCGGAGAUGGAUUCUGAGACACGAAUCCAGACCCUACGGGGUGCAGCAGGCGCGAAAACUUGGCAAUGCGAGCAAUCGUGACCAGGGAACUCCAAGUGCAUCGGGUAAGACCGAUGCUUUUCUUGACUCUUCAAAGGUCUUGGAAUAAGGGGUGGGUAAGGACGGUGCCAGCCGCCGCGGUAAUACCGGCGCCUCAAGUGGUAGUCGCUUUUAUUGGGCCUAAAACGUCCGUAGCCGGUUUGGUACAUUCGUGGGUAAAUCAAGGCGCUCAACGUCUUGAAUUCUGCGAGCACGGCCAGACUUGGGACCGGGUGAGGUGUGGGGUACUCUCAGGGUAGGGGUAAAAUCCUGUCAUCCUGAGAGGACCACCUGUUGCGAAGGCGCCACACUAGAACGGAUCCGACGGUCAGGGACGAAGCCUAGGGGCACGAACCGGAUUAGAUACCCGGGUAGUCCUAGGUGUAAACGCUGUGGACUUGAUGUUGGGAGUGCUCCGAGCACCCUCAGUGUCGAAGCGAAGGUGAUAAGUCCACUGCCUGGGGAGUACGGUCGCAAGGCUGAAACUUAAAGGAAUUGGCGGGGGAGCACUGCAACCUGAGGAUUGUGCGGUUUAAUUGGAGUCAACGCCGG
rnacentral:rRNA from 1 species